AGAGACUCCUGCCUAGAGCUCAGAACCAGGCCACAAAGGUUCUUGGAGCCCUCCUGGGCCCCCGCGUGGGUCAGCAGGUGCUCUGCCCCGGCUCCAGCCGCACACGCAGGCGUAUGCUGCCCUCUAGUGGUGUCGCAUUGAAACGGCCGCGCUGUUGCUGAUGCGGAGUCUGGGCUGCGUGUCCCCUAAGGACGGCGUCCCUGCUGUCUCAGAAGAGAUGCCCCGGUUUUAUAAGAAAUACUCUUUAAUAUCUCCGUAAUGACGUCCAUAGAGAAUAUCACCUGCUCAUGCUCCAAAUUUCAAAAAGCAGGUGCCUCGCUGGAUUUGGCCCACAGAACGCAGUUUACUGACCCUUGGUCUGGGGCAGCCCCUUCGGUUUACAGGGUGGGCCUACGGCGGACAUUCAGCACCAGGGCCAGAGGACAGAGCCUGAUGGGGCCAGGCCCUCCAGUCUCAGCACCAGGGACCCCUGGACCUCUGGGAUCUGCUUGCUCCUGGGCCUGGAUGUGAGACCAGUGCCUCCCAGACCUGCGGUUCGGGGCCAGUUUUGUUUCUUUUUUUCAGUUCGGGGCUGAUAGUUCUGUAAAAUACAGUAAAUAUGGAAGUGGGGAAAUGGAGAGGAAGAGACGUGUAACGAACAUUAUUAGAUUCAACGGUUAUACGCUUGCUCUGCCGAAUGGCUGUGAAGGCUGACAAACUCUCAGCCCCACUCCCCGCAUCAUGGUGGAUGGAGGCAGCCUGCGUCCCCGAGGCUGACGUGAGCCUGGGUCAAGCCUGCCUCAGUGUUAGCUCC